GACAAAAUUUACUCCCACACUAAAUUGUUUCCUUUUUCCUCCGACAAAGUCAUUUCUCUUCCUCAUCCUCAUUCUCUCUUCCCUCCUCUUCGCCAUCGCUCUCUUCUUCCUCCGAUCGUAACCCUUCAAAUCCCUACCCUUUUGGCUCUACCUCUCCCUCACCGGCGGCGACGUCCACGUCAGAUGAACAUGCCCCUGCCGUCGCCAAUGACCUGAAGCCUCCCCUGCAGCGCCGAUCCAGAACCCGCAGAUCGGAGGAACUCUUCGUUGCCUCGCACUGCCGUCAGGUUCGCGAAAUUGGGGAACGACCGGUGGCGGAGAAGGAGAAGGAGUGGAGCGAAGAGGACGUUGAGGUUUGAAGAAGCAGAUGACGAAGCUUCCCGUGGGGAAACCUGGACAGUGGGAAGCGAUGCAGCCUUCAUUGUGCAACACAGGGUGGACAGCGUGAUCUGGGAGAAGAGAAUCGACGAUUCGGAAAGGAAUUCUGGAAAUCCAUGGCUGCUUGUGCGCAAAGAGUUGCUGAAUUGAAGAGAGGGUUUCAGAAUGCAAAAGCUGCUUCCUAAUGGUAAAUGCACUUUUGAUUUUUGUCAAGUUCAUUGCAUGUUUAGUUAUUUUGUCAGAGAUUAUUCUUAGACAGAAAGAAGAGGCUUCUAAGAGGAAGAAGAACAUGGUAAUCAGCAUUUAUACGUUAAUCAAUUGAAGGGAAAAUCAGUAUUAGAGCUUGGAGCAGGCAUUGAAAUAUUUAAAGGUCAUAAAGAUUAGAGAAGUUGUGAGGCUUGAAGUUAAAAAGGAGAAAAAAAAUCUAGAUUUUGUGGUAUCUAAGCUGCAGUGCCAUUGCAGUGGCUGCGGAAUUUGCAGGUUUGGGAGAAAUUUGACUUGGAGAUUGCUGCUACACCAAUGCCUGAACCAGGCCUUAGGAUUAUCUAAUGAGCUGAACCGUGCUAAAGCUUUGGUCAAAGUCCUUACUUGAAACUUGAAAGAGCCUGUCAAACAAAUUGAGGACACAACUCAAAGGUUAGCUGCAUUCCUUUCACAACGCAAUUAAGUUUUUCUUAAUCUGGAGCCCGUGGUGAUUUUUCGAUAAAUUUAUGUUGUGUGAAAUGGUGAUGACAUGUUGUUCACACUUACUUUUAUUAGUUUCCCAUUGUGGCGGAUUGUAUGUUUAAGACGCCAUGUUGGCGACCUAUAUGCUUUAUAGCGGCUUAUAUACUUUAUAGAGGGCGAGCUUUAUUGCCCAAGUCGAGAUUAGAGCAAUGUAGCCUGGAAGGCUAGUUGUGGGGGGACAUCACCGCCAAUCGAAGAGUUAUCUCUAUAACAAGUCAUCCAAGGGCGGCAUAUGUUCAUUAAGACUUAAGACACUUUGCCCUUAUACUUCGGGCACAUGUCUUGUGGGCUUGUGCACUGGGCGGGACCUGCUCAUGACUAUAGGACGGCUAGGCGAGACCUCCAUAGGCCGACCAACUCUCCAGGCCGAGGAUUUUUUAGGCCCAAUGGCCCAACUAGUAUAGCAUUAGGAUAUUGGACCAUCCCACUAUAAAAGGGGAAGUCAUUCAUUGCAUACAUUGAAGUGAUAAGGAAAUUUUUUCAAUAAGCUAUUGGCUUAAAAGGCUGACCUUGCAUGUUUUGACCUUUGUUUUAGCCCCUUUGAGCCUAAUAUAUCCAUUCUUUUGUAGCUCAUUACAAGCCUAAGUGAAAAAGAAUAAUGAAAGGGAAGGAAGGUACUCAUUGCAAAAGGAAAAAAAUGAAAUGAAAGUUGUAAAAAAAUGUUGUGAAAAGGAAGAAUGUGCUAAUUCUUGGGGUUGUGAGUAAGUUUAAUUUGAAUUAUUCUCCAUUGCUCUUAUUUUUCCUAUGGUUUUAACUCUGAAAAUCUUUCUUAAAUCCUUCAUUGACCUUGGCUGCAUUACAAUCUUGGAAAGUCCUUUGAUCUUUGUAUAUAUUUAUUCAAUUUAAUUGAUGUGUUAGAAUCUUGACAAGCCUAUGAUAGUUGCAUGUUUUCAUGAGAUGAUGAGAGUUGCUUAAGCAUAACUAAACACAAGCCUAAACACUUGAGAGUAGAGAAUAUAACACUUGUAUCAAACUUUGAUGUUCAAUUUGCAAUUGUUGGCUUGGAAAGUAGGUGGAGUUCUGUUUGCCUAAUCUCCGUGGAAAAGUGAAGUGGUUGUUUUCUUGCUCAUAAAUCUGAAUUUCUACUUCUCAAAGAUAAGUGUGUGUUGAGUUUUUAUGUUUUAGGAAGAAAUACUUGUUAUCAUAAGUGAUUUCUGAUUCUUCUUUGAAGUAAAGUUUUGCCUAGGAGUGCAAAAAGCUUAGUGUGGGGGAGUUUGAUAAGCGCAUAAUUGAUGCACUUUAUGUGUGUCUUUCUAAGCUUCAUUAUAUACAUCUUUGUUCUUAAUUUUUAUGUCUUAGUCAUGUUCUGACCAUUAGUGCUUAUUUUGAUUACUAAAAGAAAAGUGCUUAAUUCUUUUUUUUAGCUUCUAUGACUCUUUUGCUAGAGCAGGUUGAAUUUGGAGCUAGAGUGAUCCGAAUAGGGAGAAUGAUAUGUCUAUGGAAAGCUAACGCGAAGCUCUACAACCUUUAUGUUUAGUACAGUACGAGAAUCAGCAUAUAUCAUGGUCAUAAUUGUCUUGCAAAGUUGUUGUCGCUAAUCCUGUGAGUCUGGAGCAGUCUGCACUAAAACGAUCAUAUCUUGGGCUACAGAACUCCGAAUUAGGAUCUGAUUGAGGGCCCGCGAAUAUGACUCAAAGGGCUACAACUCUCGUGUUUAACUUAAUUUAAGAUUCGGCCUUCUUGUGGGUCCUGCGAACACUUGAAUCUUCAGCAGCUUACUCCUCUCUUGGGCCCGAUUUUGUGAAGAUUUAGAAAAGAUUUAGGAAAGAUUUAGAUAGCAAAGAUUGUUACUUGAUGGACAAGUUUAUCUAUUAGUAUAAAUAGGCUGGUUGAGGCUCCUGUUAGGAUCUAACCUCAUCUCUCCCUCUUUUCUAGUAUGAGUUACUAAACUCCUUAGUUAGUCUUAGGAUUUUUAACAUUCUUGUGUUUGCAAACCUGAGGUUUCGUUCUUAAUAUAUUUCAUCUUUUUAUUCAA